CCCCACAACACCUGAGUAGCUGUGGAAAAUAGUGGCAAAGUUAGAGCAGCUCACUGCGACUGCAUGGCAGGACUAGGGGAAAGCUGUUCCCAUGUGGGUGCAGUUCUGUAUAAAUUGGAAGCCUCAGUCCGCCUGGGCAUCGCCACCACUGUUCAGCUGCAAAUGUUUGUGUGUGGAGCACAGUGUGCAGAUUUUG